GGCUCCGUGGUCUAGUGGUAUGAUUCGUGCUUCGGGUGACAUCUUUCUCCAGAUUAACCAUUACCUGUCCCAACGGGUAACAGAGCAUGUGCGAGGUCUCGGGUUCGAAUCCCGACGGAGCCC